rnacentral:tRNA from 1 species
GGGGAUGUAGUUCAGUGGUAGAGUGUGUUUAGCAUGCACAAGGCCCUGGGUUUGAUUCCCAGCACCA